GGCUUAAAAUCUAUCCAUAAUUGAGAGAUAUGAGUUCUGCAGUACGAGUGAAAGGUAAACCAAAUAGGGGUGGGGGACGCGGGAAACAUAACUCGGGCCGCGGCGGCGGUGGAGCCAAACCAAAGACUGGUGGUGGAGGAGAUGGUCGAGGUGGGAGAGGCCGGAGUCGCGGUAGGGCUCGUGGCAGGGCUCGUGGCUCUUCGUCAGCUGGUCGUGGUGGCCCAGGUGGCAACAAUGGCUUACGUGGUAGACCUCCCAAUACUUCACAUAAGAAAGUGCAUACAACCAUGAAUUCACAGUACCUUUUUGGCGAAGACGAUGAAGAUAGUGAUGAAGAUUAUAAUAACGAUUUUGAAGAUGGAUACGAUGAUGAUUUUGAUGAUAUUUAUGCAGAUUUUAUUGAUGAUGAUCCUGUUAUAAAAUCUCAGCCUAGGCCUACUCACAAUUCAUAUUCUAAUUCUCCCUCAUCAUCUUCAUCUUUUAAACGAAAUGAACACAGAAAUUCGUCGAUGAAGCAUUCAUCAGAUAGGCCUAAGCCUAGUUUCACUCCUAACACAUCAAAUGUCAGGAAACCAAAGUUUUGGGGAGAUGUACGCAAAGUUAAGAUGCAACAGCUCCAUAUGCAACCACAGAAUCAAGAGAUGGUGCGGGACGUUCUACAUGAGCUCCAUGGCCAGGAAUUUAUGAGCAAACACACCGAUGACUACGAAGAUUCACAUGUAAGGAGUGAUAGUCGUUACUGGAUGGCAACCAAACAACUAAAAAUUCAAGAAUUUCAGGCGAAUUCACUAGCAGAGGAAAAUACUGAUAAAACAAGUCCUGAAUUUAUGAAUAAAUACAGUUUGAGGAAACUAUUAAGGUAUGGAUUUCAUAAGGAUCACUGUUUAUUAGCAUUAGAAGAAAGCAAUGGUGAGCUUGAUGUGGCAUUGGAAGUGUUACUAUCCCAGUGCUACCAAGGUGACAUCAGUGCCGCUAAUCUAAUUGAUGACAGCACGAUAUCAAUGGACAGCUGCAUUGAACAACGUCAAGAAGAAGCCAUUGCGCUGAGUUCCAUUUACGGAGACGAUUUCCAGGAAAGAAUUCCAAAUCGUGUUUGGAUACUGAAGCUUCAGCUUCAACACAUGAACGAGUUUGUCGGUGAACAGUACCAAGCACAAAUAAAAGCUGAGAAGAAAUCGAAACCUCAUGUUAGAAUCGAAGAUAUAUGUGAAUUUUUUUUACGCGGUAAUUGCAGGUAUGGCGCAAGGUGCUGGAAAACACAUGCAAAGCCAGAAGAAAAAAGCAAAAUUAGUUUCGUUCCAGAAGAAGAGUUAUCAGACACAAAAUUCUAUGAGAUAGAAGUGAGAUUUCCAGAGAAUAACAAAUACCCAAAUGAACCACCUCUUGUUGCCUUCUUGAGCUCAAACGACAAACUCUCUUAUAGUAAGUGCCUUAAUAUAUCAAAACGAUUGUUCCAGGAAGCAGUGAGCCACGCUGAAAAUGCUUCUCCGUCGGUGUUUGGCAUUGUCUCGCUUCUUGAGGACGAGAGUCAAGUGGUUGAUAUGUUGAUGCAAACCGCUCUUCCUUUGAGUCUUCCGGUUCCUGUCCAAAUUCCAAGACGUUCUGCACAUCCAAAGAAAGUUGUUCCUGUGGAUUCUGAUAUGAAGGAUGUGGAAGAGAAAGAACUUAAGCCAGAGAAUUUGCCACAAGAGAGCAUGAAGAAUCAAAGCAAAGAUUACAUACCACCACAAAGAGAUCCUAAGUCUGUUGAAAGGCAGAAUAGGAGGCUUAAAGAUCAAUUCAAGAAAACACAGGGAUCUUCCUCUUACAAGUCCAUGCUUGCCCAGCGCCAGAACCUUCCCGCGUGGUCGGAGCAAGAAAGGAUCCUGAAAGUCUUGAAUGAAAACCAGGUAGUGGUCGUCAGUGGUAUGACAGGUUGUGGUAAAACAACCCAAGUCCCUCAGUUUAUACUAGAUGCUUCCCUCAAACAAGUUGGCCCAAAACUGUGCAAUAUAGUAUGCACACAGCCUAGGAGAAUAUCCGCUGUUGCAGUUGCUGACCGUGUGGCAAAGGAACGUGCAGAAAGACUCAAAGGCAUUGUGGGAUACCAGAUUCGUCUUGAAAAUAUGCAGUCUGCCAGUACUCGGCUGUUGUUUUGUACAACAGGGAUUUUGUUGAGACGUUUAGAGGGUGAUUUUACGCUGCAAGGUGUGUCCCACAUCAUAGUAGAUGAAGUGCAUGAACGAAGUGAGGAAAGCGACUUCUUGAUAAUGAUACUACGGAAUCUUCUACAAAAGAGGAAAGAUCUCAAAGUCAUCCUCAUGAGCGCAACCUUGAAUGCAGAAUUGUUUUCAAACUAUUUUGGCGGUUGUCCCGUCAUAGACAUUCCAGGUAAAACUUUUCCUGUACAACAGUACUUUCUGGAGGAUGCCAUUGAGUAUACAAGGUUUGUGGUGGAGGAGAACUCCGCCUACUCUCGACCGGUGAAACGUAAAGCACAGGUGACAUCAGAGAGCGUGGCCAAGGAGCUAACCAAAGGCAACUUCUCAGGAAGUGUUUGGGAUGAGGUGGAAAAUGCUAUGCAGUCCACAACAGCCUUUCAGCCCCCAGAAGACCACAUGAAAGAUUGGAACAUCACUCAGAGACAGUUGGCUUACAGAUAUUCAGAUUAUACAAAGUCAACUAUAAAGUCUUUGUCGAUACUGGAUCAUGAUAAGAUUAAUUACGAUCUGAUUGAAGGAUUAAUAUCAUGGAUAGUUGCUGGAGAACAUGAAUUUCCCAAAGAGGGCGCUAUUCUUGUGUUUCUACCAGGCCUGGCAGAGAUCACCAUGUUGUUUGAUCGCCUCAAAGCCUCAAUGUCAUCUCCAAAAUGUACCAUCAGAUAUAAGCUUGUUCCCCUUCACUCAAGUCUGUCAAGUGAGGAUCAGAAUUCCGUCUUUGAGAAAGCGAAGGAUGGUGAACGCAAGGUUGUCAUCUCGACAAACAUCGCCGAGACAUCCGUUACUAUCGACGACGUGGUGUUUGUUAUUGAUGCAGGCAAAAUGAAAGAAAAAAGAUAUGAUUCCAGCAAAAGCAUGGAGAGUUUGGAAACUACUUGGGUUUCUAAAGCGAAUGCGCUUCAGCGUAAAGGGCGUGCUGGUCGUGUCAUGUCAGGCAUUGCCUUCCAUCUUUUCACCAGUCAUACUUUUCAAGCAUGGCUUAGGGAGCAGCCUAUACCAGAAAUACAGCGUGUGCCGUUAGAACAAGUGGUCCUAAAAAUUAAAAUGCUUGAUGUUUUCAAUGGUCUCUUUGUAAAGGAUGUACUCAAUAACCUGCUCCAGCCGCCACCGGCCAGUAAUAUAUCAGACGCUAUCAACAGGCUAUGUAACCUAGGUGCAUUAAACAAAGCACAGGACUUGACCUCUCUUGGGUACCAUCUUGCUAGCCUGCCAGUGGACGUAAGAAUUGGGAAGUUAAUGCUCUUUGGCGCCAUUUUCAGAUGCUUGGAUCCGGUGUUGACCAUCGCUGCCAUACUAAGUUACAGAUCUCCAUUUGUUGCACCGUUUGGCAAAAAAGAAGAGGCCGACAAGAAACGUAAAGAGUUCUCCGAGGGAAACAGUGAUCACAUAACAUUGCUAAAAGCAUACAAGGGUUGGGCUACAGUGACUAAAAGAAAAUUCUCAAGUGGUUUCCAAUUCUGCCAGAACAACUUCCUGUCCAUCAAAACAUUACAGAUGUUGGCAUCAAUGAAGCAUCAAUUUGCAGAGCUGCUCAGUGAUAUUGGAUUUAUCAGUGAGAAACUGAGUGCGAAAAGAAUGGACAGAAUGGCUGGAGGAGGAAGCGACGUCGUGGCAAUGUCCAUUGCGCCUGAGGCUAACAUCAAUGCAGCUAAUCACAAGUUAGUGAUUGCUGUUCUCUGUGCUGCACUUUACCCAAAUAUAGUGCAAGUAAUGACACUGGAGUCUAAGUAUAGCCAUACAAAGGCUGGAAGUAUUCCUCUGGCUCCGAAAGCAGACGAGAUUAGGCUAAAGACCCAGCAGGAUGGAUACGUAAGCAUCCAUCCUUCUUCUGUUAACUACCAAGUCGGCCAUUUUGAAAGUCCAUAUCUCAUUUAUCACGAAAAGAUCAAAACCUCAAAGGUGUACAUCCGGGACUGCAGCAUGGUAUCCGUUUACCCACUUCUUCUGUUUGGCGGAUAUUCCCUGAACUUGGAUCUGGUGCAGGGCACAUUCAUAAUGUCAUUGGAUGACGGCUGGAUCAAGUUCCAGGUCAACGACCACAAGCUGUUCCCAACGCAAUCAGGAACGCUCCCUGAUUCAACGGACCAAUCAGCGUCACCAAAGAAGUCGGCUAAUAGCGUGUAGCGAUUUUGACAGAAACCAGGCUUAACAAGACUGCCCAACUUUUACAGUGGUGUAUGCGUAUGAUGUUGGUGAGAUGAUACAAGAGUUACGUUCCGAACUUGAUCUGCUUCUGACGGACAGAAUUGAAGAUCCUGCGAUGGACUUGAUGACCUGCCCGAGAGGAAGCAGGAUUAUUGCUGCCAUUGUCC
rnacentral:misc_RNA from 1 species